AUUGAACGCUGGCGGCAUGCCUUACACAUGCAAGUCGAACGAAGGCUUCGGCCUUAGUGGCGCACGGGUGCGUAACGCGUGGGAAUCUGCCCUCAGGUUCGGAAUAACAGCGAGAAAUUGCUGCUAAUACCGGAUGAUAUCGCGAGAUCAAAGAUUUAUCGCCUGAGGAUGAGCCCGCGUAGGAUUAGCUAGUUGGUGUGGUAAAGGCGCACCAAGGCGACGAUCCUUAGCUGGUCUGAGAGGAUGAUCAGCCACACUGGGACUGAGACACGGCCCAGAGUCCUACGGGAGGCAGCAGUGGGGAAUAUUGGACAAUGGGCGAAAGCCUGAUCCAGCAAUGCCGCGUGAGUGAUGAAGGCCUUAGGGUUGUAAAGCUCUUUUACCCGGGAUGAUAAUGACAGUACCGGGAGAAUAAGCUCCGGCUAACCCCGUGCCAGCAGCCGCCGUAA
rnacentral:rRNA from 1 species